ensembl:lncRNA SOX9-AS1 SOX9 antisense RNA 1
GGCGCAGGUCACGAGGCAGGAGACGGAGGGCGCUUCUCCGUGUUCGGGACGUGCUUUCGGAUACCCGCUCUUGAGCAAGCGCCGCGAGGUCUGCCGCCGGGAGCGGAGACACAGAGCCAAAAACAAUCCAUUGAUACACUUGGUGACAUUAAUUGAGAAAAAAACAAUAUGGUCUGGCCAUGGAGGCAUGGUAUCCGUAACAUCCCCCAAAGGAGCUAAAGAAGAAAUCCACAAUUUACCAUGAGCAUUUCUCGUCUGAAGAUUGCCAAGCGAUUCCUCCAGGACAUUCCUCAAGAUCAAUUUCUGUUCAUCCACCUUGUCCUGGGAGGGACAUCAAUGGGUUUCCAUGUCCUUUGGCUUCUGGUUGAGUUCACUCAGUGGAGAACCCUGGCAAGAGGCAGGAAAAGGGGAGGAAGGUGAAAACCAUCCAUUUCUUGGAGAAGUGCCACGGUGGGGUUGCAAGUCCCAGGAUCAAGUUUUCGAUGUGUCUCUUUUUCCCGUAAAGUGGCUGAAAUCUGAAGCUGAAUCUGCAAGUGUCAUGGAGUCAUUGAAUCUCACAGUCUCAACUGAUAAAAGUUAUUAAAGGUCGUCUGGUUCAGCCUUCUA